rnacentral:rRNA from 1 species
GGGGAAUAUUUCGCAAUGGGCGAAAGCCUGACGGAGCAACGCCGCGUGAGUGAUGAAGGAUUUCGGUUCGUAAAGCUCUGUUGCAGGGGAAAAAGAAAGUGAUUGUACUCUGCGAGAAAGGGACGGCCAACUUCGUGCCAGCAGCCGCGGUAAUACGAAGGUCCCUAGCGUUGUUCGGAAUUAUUGGGCGUAAAGAGCUCGUAGGUGGUUUUGUAAGUCAGGUGUGAAAGCCCCGAGCUCAACUCGGGAAGUGCACUUGAAACUGCUUAACUUGAGUACGGAAGAGGUAAGUGGAAUUCCUGGUGUAGUGGUGAAAUACGUAGAUAUCAGGAGGAACAUCGGCGGCGAAGGCGGCUUACUGGUCCAGUACUGACACUGAGGAGCGAAAGCAUGGGGAUCAAAC